CCAGCGCUCCCCGCACCCGCGGGGGCUGCAAACCGCUGGGCACAGCUCACAAAAAAACAUUCCCCCAGCCCCACAAAAACACCAAAAUCACAACCGGCCACCAGCCCCCACAAAAAAAAAUUCCAAACCUCAAACCCACAAACCGACCGCUUCCAGCCCGUCCUCGUGCGCCUUCCCAGGGAUCCCAAGCCCGCGGGAAUGCCCCCGGAGUGGGACAGAAAGCUGCUCUGGCCGAGGCACUUUGACCACCCGGAGCACUCCUCUGGGGGCCCUACAACACCCGCCAGUAGAACCUCGCUGUGCAAAGGAACUAUUUUGGUGCUCCCUGGGGAAGCCAGAACUGAAACUUUGUUCCUUUUGCCUCGGGCCGGAGACCCCCGGGCUGUUUUCUGCACACACUUCCAGCCCCCAGCGCUUGCUGCAGGCGCUCCCUGCAAAUGUCACACUGCCAGGGCCCUUUCCUUGCUGUCACCCGCUGUGGCUGGCCAUGAGCAGAGCUCCUGCACUUGCAUUUCCAGCUGCUGUGCAACCACAGCUGAGGUAUCUGCAGCUGCCUGAAUGCAAAACCUGGCAAAGGAGCCUCUCUCGAGGGGGAAAUCUCCCCUUCCUGAGCCAGCCCGUGGCAAUGCUGCCAUUCUCUGCUGCUGCUGCUGGGGCACUCGGGGCUCUGGCUGAGCAGGAAAGGUGACCCUGAGCCAGGAGCUUUCCUUGGCUGCAGCAAAGCCUCGGUGCACGAAGACCUUCCCAGUGCUGUGCUUGUUUGUUUUUUAUAAAUUAACUCCCCCGUCAGCUCUGGUCAGAGCUCUGUAACUGUGUGUGACACUUGUCUGUGGCACUGUGGGGAUGGCCAAGGGGACCUUCCCCGAGCUGUCUGCAGAGGAAUCCACAGCAGCCCAGGCCGGGGGUGCUCAGUGGCCACUCAGUUCCGCUGACUGGACGCGGCUCUGGCCGCUUCCCUUGGAGCAUCUCCAGGGAGGGAACGCGGGGGCUGCCCUGGCUGUGGUGUCACUGCCAGGGGAACGCUGGGGCUGCUGGCCCAGCUGUGGUGUCACUGCCAGGGGAACACUGGGGCUGCCCCGCUCCUGCCCCACCCCAUCAGCUCUGCCAGCGCCUCAAGGGGACACAAAGGUUGAGCCAAAGGGAGGGUGUGAAAACAGGAGCAUUGUUUGGUGUGGUCUCCUCUCUGCCUUUCACACCUUUCAGUGCUUUGACCCAGCCAAGAGCUUUCUCCAAGAGUGCAAUGAAGCAGCUGUUCCUGCUCCCAGAGCCACAGAGAGCUGGAAUUAUCCCAUUUCUCAUGUCUCCAUUGUGCCAUAUUCCUAAAGAACCAGCAGCCCAUCCCGACGAAUAUGGUGAGUUAUGUGGAUGGUUGUCAGCUCCCUUUCCUGCCUAGAAAUCCUGGAACUGCCUCUAAAUGCUGUUCCUUUCAGCUCUUGGACACCUACUCACACAGAGCUGGGAAAAAAAAUCCCCUGGCCAUGGCUUACAAGGUGAGUUAUGCCAAACUUAGAGCUCUGUGGGAAAUCUCUAUCCAUCCCUAUCCCUUUAAUAUAUCUAUAAGUGGGGGCGUGCAUGGAUGUGUUUUGUAUGGAAAGGAAGGAGUGUGCAAACAACGUGACUGACACAUUCACUGUGUUCAUUCCAUACUCAUGGGUACAAAAAUAUUAUGGAAACCUUUGCGAAGACAGACCUGUCCAUGGAUACAGAGACAUCCAAGAGCCCCUGUGUUGGGGGUUAGGUGUCCUUUUUUUGUUCUGGCUUGCCUGUGGAAUUUUUACCCAUUAGUUGCGGGGACAACCUAACUGUGGGUGCUCGACAAAGGACAAAGAGUGGCCGGGCCCAGGGGUGGUGAAGGGGACAGGAAAGGAGGGUGGGGGACAGUUUUUGGCUGGCUUUCUUUGGCUUCAGGGAAAGACAUUCGUUUUCUGGGUCGCGGAGCUUCUACGGGAGAGAGAAGGGAAUUUUGCCAUCACCCAGACGAAGCUGCUGCUUCUUCUCCUUCUUCCCUCUUCGUUGGUUGGCCUCACAUCCCCUGUCCUGCCGGGACGUGUGGCAGUGCCAG
rnacentral:lncRNA from 1 species